GAUGAAGAACGUAGCGAAAUGCGAUAAGUAAUGUGAAUUGCAGAAUUCAGUGAAUCAUCGAAUCUUUGAACGCGCAUUGCGCCCCUUGGUAUUCCGAGGGGCAUGCCUGUUCGAGCGUCAUUAUAACCCCUCAAGCUCAGCUUGGUAUUGGGGCCUGCCAUCCUGGCAGCCCUUAAAAUCAGUGGCGGUGCCAUCCGGCUCUAAGCGUAGUAACUCCUCUCGCUAUGGAGUCCUGGUGGAUGCUUGCCAUUAAUCUUUUAACUUCUAUGGUUGACCUCGGAUCAGGUAGGGAUACCCGCUGAACUUAAGCAUAUCAAUAGCGGAGGA
rnacentral:misc_RNA from 1 species